GAACGAGCCCUUCGGGGUUAGUGGCGCACGGGUGCGUAACGCGUGGGAAUCUGCCCUUGGGUUCGGAAUAACUCGCCGAAAGGCGUGCUAAUACCGGAUGAUGUCGAAAGACCAAAGAUUUAUCGCCCAAGGAUGAGCCCGCGUAAGAUUAGGUAGUUGGUGAGGUAAAGGCUCACCAAGCCGACGAUCUUUAGCUGGUCUGAGAGGAUGAUCAGCCACACUGGGACUGAGACACGGCCCAG
rnacentral:rRNA from 1 species